UAGUGUUACAGCUCUUUUGGAAUUUGUCUAGCAAGUUUCUCAGUUUUCCCUGGAAAACUCUA
ensembl:snRNA U7 U7 small nuclear RNA